rnacentral:rRNA from 1 species
GACGAAGGAUCCAAGCGUUAUCCGGAUUUAUUGGGUUUAAAGGGUGCGUAGGCGGAUUGAUAAGUCAGUGGUGAAAGCCUGCAGCUUAACUGCAGAACUGCCAUUGAUACUGUCAAUCUUGAAUAUGGUUGAUGUGGGCGGAAUAUGACAUGUAGCGGUGAAAUGCUUAGAUAUGACACAGAACACCGAUUGCGUAGGCAGCUCACUAAACUGUAACUGACGCUGAGGCACGAAAGCGUGGGGAGCAAACAGG